rnacentral:sRNA from 1 species
UUGACAGUUUUGGAGACUGAAAUCCUUUUUUUACAGAACAGUUACAGCAAGGGCAGUGGUAGCUUCCCCACACCACCGUGAUCUAUUCUUUUGGAGGGACCACCUCUAGGAUGAAAGGGUAGUUCAGUCUCCAUGCUCAUUCAAUUCUUUGCCACU